UAGUUGGUGAGGUAACGGCCCACCAAGCCUGCGAUGGGUAGCUGGUCUGAGAGGAUGAUCAGCCACACUGGAACUGAGACACGGUCCAGACUCCUACGGGAGGCAGCAGUGAGGAAUAUUGCGCAAUGGCCGAAAGGCUGACGCAGCGACGCCGCGUGAAGGAUGAAGUCCGUUAGGAUGUAAACUUCUUUUGCAGGGGAUGAAUGUGUCCUUUUAGGGCAUUGACCGUACCCUGCGAAUAAGGAUCGGCUAACUACGUGCCAGCAGCCGCGGUAAUACGUAGGAUCCGAGCGUUGUUCGGAGUUACUGGGCGUAAAGCGUGCGUAGGCGGUGGUCCAAGUCUGGUGUGAAAUCUCCCGGCUCAACUGGGAGGGUGCGCCGGAAACUGGGCCGCUGGAGUAUGGGAGAGGCAAGCGGAAUUCCAGGUGUAGCGGUGAAAUGCGUAGAUAUCUGGAGGAACACCCGUGGUGCAGACGGCUUGCUGGACCAUGACUGACGCUGAGGCACGAAAGCGUGGGUAGCAAACAGGAUUAGAUACCCUGGUAGUCCACGCCCUAAACGAUGCAUACUUGGUGUGGGCAGUUCAGUCUGUCCGUGCCGAAGCUAACGCGAUAAGUAUGCCGCCUGGGGAGUACGGUCGCAAGGCU
rnacentral:rRNA from 1 species